rnacentral:rRNA from 1 species
AACGUAGGAGACAACCGUUAUCCGGAGUUACUGGGCGUAAAGGGCGUGUAGGCGGUUUGUUAAGUCUGGCGUGAAAGCUCUCGGCUAAACCGGGAGAGGUCGUUGGAUACUGGCAAACUAGAGGACGGUAGAGGCGUGUGGAAUUCCGGGUGUAGUGGUGAAAUGCGUAGAGAUCGAGAGGAACACCAGUGGCGAAGGCGGCUACCUGGACCAGCACUGACACUGAGGCACGAAAGCGUGGGGAGCAAACAGG